UACGUAGGGUCCGAGCGUUGUCCGGAAUUAUUGGGCGUAAAGAGCUCGUAGGCGGUCUGUCGCGUCUGCUGUGAAAACCCGGGGCUCAACCCCGGGCCCUGCAUUCGAUACGGGCAGACUAGAGUUCGGUAGGGGAGUCUGGAAUUCCUGGUGUAGCGGUGAAAUGCGCAGAUAUCAGGAGGAACACCGGUGGCGAAGGCGG
rnacentral:rRNA from 1 species